UACAGAGGGGCGAGCGUUGUUCGGAAUUACUGGGCGUAAAGGGCGCGUAGGCGGCCCGCUAAGUCGAACGUGAAAUCCCCAGGCUCAACCUGGGAACUGCGUCCGAUACUGGCAGGCUUGAAUCCGGGAGAGGGAUGUGGAAUUCCAGGUGUAGCGGUGAAAUGCGUAGAUAUCAGGAGGAACACCGGUGGUGUAGACGGCUCACUGGACCGUAACUGACGCUGAGACACGAAAGCGUGGGUAGCAAACAGG
rnacentral:rRNA from 1 species